rnacentral:rRNA from 1 species
AUUGAACGCUGGCGGCAGGCCUAACACAUGCAAGUCGAGCGGAGCGGCGGACGGGUGAGUAAUGCCUAGGAACCUGCCUGGUAGAGGGGGAUAACGUCCGGAAAGGGGCGCUAAUACCGCAUACUAUCAGAUGAGCCUAGGUCGGAUUAGCUAGUUGGUGGGGUAAAGGCCUACCAAGGCGACGAUCCGUAACUGGUCUGCGAGGGUGAUCAGGCACACUGGAACUGAGACACGGUCCAGACUCCUACGGGAGGCAGCAGUGGGGAAUCUUUGGCAAUGGGCGAAAGCCUGAUGCAGCCAUGCCGCGUGUGUGAGGAAGGUCUUCGGAUUGUAAAGCACUGUUAGUUGGGAGGCGUUACCUACAGAAUAAGCACCGGCUAACUUCGUGCCAGCAGCCGCGGUAAUUC